CUCACAUCAACUGAGACAGAAUAAACGUUAUUAUCAUUGGGAUAAGGCUCAACCUCUUCCUUCACCACACCUGCCACAGCAGGUGCGAAGUGCAUGGUUUCUACAAGGUGGCCAAUUCAAUAGGUAAGAUUACUGGAUCAGAUCUGAUGCCUGGUUACAUUCAGCUCACUGAGCUGCUGAUAGCACAGUUCACUGAAAAUAAUGUAAUGACUCCAUCUAUUGGUUUCUUGAGGCAUAACCACUAUAUCCAUCCUCUGUAAAGAUCAAAUCAAAGUUUGUUGGUGGAUUACAGUGAAAUGCUUAUUACUAGCUCCUAACAAUGCAGUAAAAUGUUAAUCAAGUAUACAAAUAAUCAGAAUGGAAAAAAACAAGAAGAAAUCAAGAAAUGUCGGCACAAAUUAAAUGAGCUAACGCCCCAAAAAGCACUAUAACAGUAUAAUCCAAAUGCAAUCUGUGUAUUUACACACAAUAUACUAAGAAUAUACAGCAGUAGAUAUAUUAGACUGACAGAAGAAUCCAGUAUAUCCAUAAAUAUGUGGUGAGUAUAAGCAGUGUAACUAAAAUGCAAUGUACAGUCAUAGAAAAGUGCAGGGUAGAGUACCAGGUGAUAGUCGGAGAGUGACAGUGUCUAAAGUUCAGGUCAGAGUACUGGGCGGAGGCUGGCUAUUGGUGAGUGUUUAACGGUCUGAUGGCCUGGAGAUGGAAGCUGUUUACAGUAUCUCGGUCCCAGCUUUGAUGCACCUGUUCUGUACUUUUUAGAUGGUAGCAGGAUGAACAGGCUGUGGCUCGGGUGGCUAAAGUCCUUGACUAUCUUCUUGGCCUUCCUGUGAUACCAGGUGCUGUAGAUGUCCUGGAGGACAGGCAGUGUGCCCCUGAUGAUGCAUUUGGGUUGACCCCACUGUUACGUUCCCCAGAAUAUGUGUUGUAGUUUGUGUAUUUGCAUGUGUUUUAUUUCAGGAAAUGGCUUCCUGAAAUCCCUCAAGCAGCUGAUUGGUUGACUCCAGGGCUAAUUGGAGAGCUGACCCCGCCCCCUCGUCAAGACACAGCUGUCUCCAAUUACACAUUCAUUCUGAAGCUAUAUAAAAGCCAGUGUUCUGUUCAGGAGAGAGAGAUUUGUAGGGAGGUCAUUGCAGAGUGAUUGAUUGUGAUAGAGAGAUUUUGCUAGAGGUUGAUUUUGCUGGGAGUUCAUUGCUGGGAAGUGGUAUGUUCUGUGAGUUUGUUGCUCAGGUAGAGCUUAGUUGAUGUCCUUUGUUUCUUAGUUUGUUUGUAAAAUUGUUUAAUAUUCUGUUUCAUUUGUUCCCAGGGGGGAAGGGGAAGGCACCUUGGGAGUGUUUAGGCAAGAGGCCCGCGGGCAUACAUAUACCCGUAGUAUAUUCACUGUCUAGGCACACUAGGUAAGACCUGGGCGGACCACCCCCUGUAUUUUGGUUAGGGCACCAGGUGGUGCUAAAUUAGGUAAAAGUGGUUAGGCAGGUAAGAUAGGAGAGAGGGGGC
rnacentral:lncRNA from 13 species